rnacentral:lncRNA from 1 species
CCCAACUUGGGGGCCAAGGAAAACAGCAGCCUCAGGAAACGUCUCUGGGCUGGUGUUGGGGUUUGUGGCUCUUGGAGGCGGCAGAGCUCGGGGAGGGGAUUAGAGAAGGACUGGAUCUCAUGGGUCGUGGUUCCGUUUCCCCCGAGCACCUUGCAGACUCUAUCCUCCUGCAUCUUUGGGUCUUCGGUCCCAGUGUAAGACCUGGGAUGGAGCAGAUGGCAGAAAAAAUUUGUUGACUAAAUCAGUGGAAGAUUGAACAUAUGAAUUAAUUAAUUUUCUAGCUCAGUUACCUGGUAGCUGUGUGACUUUCUGCUGGUUGCUUAAUCUCUCUAAACCUUCUUUCCCUCAUCUGUAGACUAUGCACCUCAUAGAAUUGUUGUGAAAAUCAAAUGUGCUUCUAGCAUUUUGGCUUUGUCCUGGGGAGUAUAUAGUAUAAUAAAUCCAACGGAUUUUAACUAGUGUCCCUGGAUGAUUGUUGUGUUGUGGUGCUGUUGUCAGCGUGUGAUUUAGAGGAGGUUUCAGAGUAUUUCCAAUAAGAAGUCUAUGAUUUUGUCUCUAUGGAUACAGGGAAGAGAGAUAAGCAGAUGCUGUCCCUCUGGAGCCAGGAGGGCAUCUCUCUACCUGUUCACCCUGCUGUGCAUUGUAGGCUGGCUCCUGGGGCCUGGUUAGCUCUGGUAGUCCUUGGGAACAAGCAAAGGAGUUUGGGUCUCCUGAGAGACUUGUGUCUUUCACAGGGAGUGGGGCCCUUUUACACAUCCAUCGCCAACUUUCAUCUCCACGAAAAUACUGCAGAAGUCAAUAGGAUCCCUGUCUUGGAGAUGGUGAAACUGAGACUUAGAGACGGAGUCACAUAGUCCAAGUCAUACUUUUCAGUCUGUAACUUUGAAACACUAGACUGCAUUUGCUCUAUCAAGCCUCACUGCCAAGAGAUUAAGGUGUGCUAUCUUACAGCUUGGAUGAUCAGUGGGGAUUUGGCUCAUGGGUGAUUCUAGACUCAGGAAGCAAAGAUGGAGAUUCAAGCUUGAGGCCAGAAAUGGAAACAACAGAGCCG